rnacentral:misc_RNA from 1 species
GAUGAAGAACGCAGCGAAAUGCGAUAAGUAAUGCGAAUUGCAGAAUUCAGUGAGUCAUCGAAUCUUUGAACGCACAUUGCGCCCUUUGGUAUUCCGAAGGGCAUGCCUGUUCGAGCGUCAUUAUCAACCCUCAAGCGCAGCUUGGUGUUGGGCGUCUGUCCCGCUCUCCGUAGCGCGGACUCGCCUCAAAGUCAUUGGCGGCGGUCGUGCCGGCUCCUCGCGCAGCACAUUUGCGCUUCUCGGAGGCCCGGCGGAUCGGCAUCCAGCAAGCUACUUUUUAUGACUUGACCUCGGAUCAGGUGAGGAUACCCGCUGAACUUAAGCAUAUCAAUAAGCGGAGGA